ensembl:lncRNA
GCACACACACACACACACACACACACACACACACACACACACACACACACACACACACUUAUAAAUGGAGUGUGCAGACAAACACUGGAAGCAGCUGGUGCUGAUAGAUUCACAUCAUUUUAAUAAGACUGACAACAACCUCAGCCUCCCCCUACCUGUUGUUGUUGAUUUUUACCCACUAACCCUCACAAAAGCACAGCUGUUAUGUAAAAGUCAGGUCCAUUACUGCUUCCUAUGUCAUGACUUUUUCUUCUACACGUAAACAGACAGCCUUUGUUUGUUUUCCCAUGGUGCUUAUUGUGUUUAAUCAGACUCACUGAGAGAAAUCAUCAUGAUAAGAUGAUCAUGUUGUGUAAAGCCACUUUAUUAUACUCUCCAUCGGCCCCCGGUCCCGCUGGGUGCAGUGGGACAGAAGUUCUCCCAAGGAGCAACUAGGAGUCAGAAGUGUUCCCAAACUUUCUCAGAUUGAGAAACCUUUGACUAAGAUGAGGAAUGAUCACAUUAACCUUUACUAAAAUAUAAGAGAACCACUAGAGAAACAGUUGUUAGGUUAAUACCGGCAGUUGUUGAUGCAUUGGCACAGACAAAACCCGCCCCGUUUACUAAGAAUUAGGACACGACACACCUUGAGCGCUGUCUCUGUUUUUAGCAGCAGAAAGUGGAAGUGAUACAUACUUUUAUUUCAAAGAAUUGGUGGCUGUAUAAAUUAGAUUCUGCCUGAUGCCACGCAGGUCUUUUCAUUUAGCAGAAACCCACACGGCUUCACACAGAAAGGGUUCUGGAGCUCCAGUCGGGGCCGCUCCCCCGGGGACGUCUCCCGCUUCAAAAAGUUGUCACCCUGCGCAAAACGUAAUCGACAUUUUUGAUGAAUCACCUGUGUGCUGUUAACGCUCACGGGGUAUUAAUAAUUAUUACUCCUGAUCUGGUGAUUGAGUUAGUGACCCCGGGGCCAGGAGCCCCCACAGAGCAGGGGGAGGGAGAGGGAGAGGGAGGAGGGGGGUGGGGGGGUGGGGGGGGCAGUACCUGGCCCAAUGCACCCAGCAAAGCAAUCUGGCAGUGAUGGUGUCGUACUGCUUCUGAGACCCCUGAACGCAUGCCACUGCCUCUACCAGCUCCAUACGGUCACACACACACACACACACACACACACACACACACACACACACACACACACACACAUAUACAAAGACACACACACAUUCUCUGACACGCUGCAUGCUGAGUAGACACAUUCAAACAUGCUAUCACAGGAGAAAAUAUGCCCAAACAGCAAAUCUAACCUUGUCCCGUGCUUUGAAAAUACAAUAAACAAACCUAACCGGCAAACAAAUAAAAAAAAUGAGGCCGGUGGGAUGAUGUGCUGAUCUCCAACCAAGGGGGGACGAGGUGGGGGGGAGUCGCAAAGAAGUUCAUUUUACCUGAAAGGAGUAAAAAACAUGCCAUUAAGGGGGUGUUAACUCCACAGAAUAACGGUUAACAGGGUAAUUUGUAGAACCACAAAAAACUAAAUCUGUGUUUCUGUUUUUUUAUACUUUAUACUAUUUUUUUAAUAGUUUCAGCGUAUUAUUUGUUGCCAGGAACUCACUUUAAGCGAAUUUCCUUCAUGUUAUUUUAUUUCCUGUUAACUGUGGUCACAAGGCGAUUUACUGAGUCAACCUUUUAACGCGGGAUCAAGUUCCUGCUGAAGCCCUCAAACCGUGACUAUCACUUCCAUUCAUGUUUCACUUCCUCAUCUCUGCGUAUGGGCCAGAGAGUCAUUCAGCAGUUUCUAUCAAUCAGUCAUUAUUUGUCACAUUUUUCUUCAUCGCAAAUAGUGGUUUUGGUAGUAUUUUGGUUGUGGUCUGCAGAUUGAUGGCACACACACACACACACACACACACACACACACACACACACACACACACACACACAAACUGCUGUGAUGGUGCACAUAUGUGGUUGAGCAGAGAAGUCUGUGCAGUAAUGCAGUGGAGAGGACAGUCCUCUGUGGCAUUGGAGGGUCAAUCAGCAAUCAAUUAUUCCACUCAGCCUGGCCAGAAGCCAUACCUCAGACUCACUCCCUGCGCGCGCACACACACACACACACACACACACACACACACACACACACGAUCACAAUCAUACUCAAGCUGCCUAACUCUCCAGUAUGUAUCCCUCAAAACUCUGAUAUCUUCAUACAUCUAGACAAAUAAAACAAUAUGCGGUUUUGUAAAAUGCUAAAUUAGGAUUGGCAGGUGAACAAAAAACAUAGAAUGCACCUGGGGUCGAACUUAUUAAAGUUUAGUUUGAUUAUUUAACUGAUUCAUGAUUUGCCAUGAUUUACCUUUUUAACAAAUGUUACCGACAUUGUUUGAAUUCUCUUGUGUAACAAGUUCUAUUUUUCUAUCCUGAAGUAUUACAUUUUUCAUUGUUUAUUUUUUUUCCAUCCCAGAUCUAAUCUCAUGCGGGCAUUUCAAAAGGUCUUCCUUGCUUGACGGUCUGUCCACAUGUUGGUUGCUAUAGAGAACUAUCUGUGAAAGGCUUGGUAAGAAACUGUUUGGAAAAGGGCAAGUGAUUGGAUAAAGCACCCAUGAAGGGAAUUGAGAAAAGCCUUCAGUACCGUUAUUUGCUCUUUUUUCAAUGAAUAAAUAUUCCCCUUUAUCAACAAUUAACAAGGCCAUUCAACUUAAACUGUAAUGUGCCUGUAAUGUGCAGAAUUUUCCAAUAGGAAGACAAUUCCUAGCAUAUGAGGUUUUGUUAAAAUUUUCAUUAUAGCUGGACAUCUGCAUGAGAUGCUUUAUUGGUGUAUGCUCUAUCAUCCCACCAAGAAUUGUCUCUCUGUAGUCUACGACCAAUAAGUAUCCAUCCCGCGGUACCCUCAGUGUCUCAGUCGGUCCUUCACGCUCACUAUGAAUGUAUAAACGUCCCCCUACAUGAAGCCAGGGCUUUAAACACUUGUCACAUGCGUCCCGGGAUGGUGACUCCUCCCCAGUCCUGGGGGCAGAUCUCUGUUUGCUCGGUGCCAAACGGACUCUAACGCAUGACAUAGGAGUGCAAGUGCCACGCCGUCCGCUGGCGUGCACCCUGUCACCCUCUGCACCCACAGAACGCCGCGUGGGCACUUCCAGUGGCCACAGCGGUGCGCCUGCAGAGCCGAAGUGACUGAGGUGUCACUGAGCCUGACACACACACCCGGGACCAGGACCCAGAGGCAGACACACACUGUCUGGGCUGAUGCACAUCUAAAAGGUAACUCCAGCCACAGACAGAGGGCAAUAUGUGUGUGUGCGUGCGUGAUGCUUGUUGUGUGUUUGCCAUGCAGGAGGACAUGCAGGCAGGAGUAUGGAUGGACUCUAAAUGGGACAAGUUCCCUCCUCAGAAAGAUACCUUUUCAGAACGAGGCUCUCGUCUUUUACUGUAAUAAUCAUUAUACGCUUAACAAGGUGAAAAUGACACUGUCCAUGUCGGCAAAGCCACGAGGGUCCGUGGCUUGAAGAUUUUGUAGUCUGUGGUAUGUCAGGGACGAGGGUCAUCACGUGAUCUGCUUUUGUUGCAAUGUCCCGCCCUUUAGUCAUCUUUCUGAAAUUGUAAUUCUCAUGAAGUUAAUGGGAUAAUUUGUCACUGCCUUCAAGGACCGUUUAACAAACAUUGGACUUUCAGCCUGCAGGUUGCUGUUUGUGUCCCAAAAGAAAUCAAAAGCAAACGUUGGUGUUACACUUGUUCCUAACAAUGUUAUGUAGCAAUGUUUGUUUGUAUAUACGGACGUUGCCAUGUUAGGUUCGGUCAUAUAUAUAUAUAUAUACAUAUAU